GGCGGACGGGUGAGUAACGUGUAGGAAUCUGCCUAGUAGAGGGGGACAACAGUUGGAAACGACUGCUAAUACCGCAUACGCCCUACGGGGGAAAAGAGGGGACCUUCGGGCCUUCUGCGAUUGGAUGUACCUAGGUGGGAUUAGCUAGUUGGUGAGGUAAUGGCUCACCAAGGCGACGAUCCCUAGCUGUUCUGAGAGGAUGAUCAGCCACACUGGGACUGAGACACGGCCCAGACUCCUACGGGAGGCAGCAGUGGGGAAUAUUGCACAAUGGGCGCAAGCCUGAUGCAGCCAUGCCGCGUGUGUGAAGAAGGCCUUCGGGUUGUAAAGCACUUUCAGCGAGGAGGAAAGCUUAAGCGUUAAUAGCGUUUAGGUGUGACGUUACUCGCAGAAGAAGGACCGGCUAACUUCGUGCCAGCAGCCGCGGUAAUACGAGGGGUCCAAGCGUUAAUCGGAAUUACUGGGCGUAAAGCGUAC
rnacentral:rRNA from 1 species